CAAAGACAAUUUUUAAAUUGAUUACAAGGACAUUUAUGCCAACCAGUACAGUGGUCUAAGUUGAAGUUUUGAGUAGGAUAUGAAGUUCUAUUUAGUCCCAUUCGGAGGCAAAAGAGAACUCACUGCAUAAUAGAGUUUCAAGUUCAGAAGGAACUAUAACUAAUGUACUGUCUCUGACCUAUAAUAGGUGCUCAAAAAAUGUAUGUUGAAUUAAUUCAACAAAAUUCCUCUACUUCACCUCAUCAGGUGGUUAUCUAGUGUCUCCUUUACCUCUCCAAUGGGAGCAAAUCUAUAAUUUCCCAAAGCAGAAAACUGUGCAUCUUUACUAAAACUACAAACAUUAGCCGGGCAUGGUGGUGCACACCUGUAAUCUCAGCUACUCAGGAGGCUGAGGCAGGAGAAUUGCUUGAACCCAGGAGGCGGAUGN
rnacentral:lncRNA from 1 species